ACUUAAGUAGUUUAAAUAAAAAUUAUGAUUUGUGGUAUCAUGGAUAUAAAAAUUAUCUUAAGUU
rnacentral:tRNA from 1 species